GACGAACGCUGGAGGCGUGCUUAACACAUGCAAGUCGAACGAUGAAAUGGAGCUUGCUCCAUGGAUUAGUGGCGAACGGGUGAGUAACACGUGAAUAACCUGCCCUUAAUUUUGGAAUAACCAAGGGAAACCUGGGCUAAUACCGGAUAAGUAAACCUUGGGCAUCAAUUGGUUUUGGAAAGUUUUUCGAUAAAGAUUGGAUUCGCGGCCUAUCAGUUUGUUGGUGAGGUAAUGGCUCACCAAGGGGACGACGGGUAGCCGGCCUGAGAGGGUGAACGGCCACACUGGGACUGAGACACGGCCCAGACUCCUACGGGAGGCAGCAGUGGGGAAUAUUGCGCAAUGGACGAAAGUCUGACGCAGCGACGCCUCGUGAGGGACGAAGGUCUUCGGAUUGUAAACCUCUUUCAGCAGGGACGAAGCGAAAGUGACAGUACCUGCAGAAGAAGCACCGGCUAACUAUGUGCCAGCCGCCGCGGUAA
rnacentral:rRNA from 1 species